UACGAAGGGGGCUAGCGUUGUUCGGAAUUACUGGGCGUAAAGCGCGCGCAGGCGGUCCUUUAAGUCAGGGGUGAAAGCCCAGAGCUCAACUCUGGAACUGCCUUUGAAACUAGAGGACUUGGGUACGGGAGAGGUGAGUGGAAUUCCGAGUGUAGAGGUGAAAUUCGUAGAUAUUCGGAAGAACACCAGUGGCGAAGGCGGCUCACUGGCCCGAUACUGACGCUGAGGCACGAAAGCGUGGGGAGCAAACAGGG
rnacentral:rRNA from 1 species